AUUCCCCUAGUAACUGCGAGUGAAGCGGGAAAAGCUCAAAUUUAAAAUCUGGUGGUCUUUGGCCAUCCGAGUUGUAAUUUAGAGAAGCGACUUCCGCGCUGGACCGUGCACAAGUCUCCUGGAAUGGAGCGUCAUAGAGGGUGAGAAUCCCGUCUUUGGCACGGACACACCAGGGCUUUUGUGAUGCGCUCUCGAAGAGUCGAGUUGUUUGGGAAUGCAGCUCAAAAUGGGUGGUGAACUCCAUCUAAAGCUAAAUAUUGGCGAGAGACCGAUAGCGAACAAGUACCGUGAGGGAAAGAUGAAAAGCACUUUGGAAAGAGAGUGAAACAGUACGUGAAAUUGUUGAAAGGGAAACGCUUGAAGUCAGUCGCGUCGACCGAGACUCAGCCUCGCCUUGGCUUGGUGUACUUCUCGGCCGACGGGUCAGCAUCAAUUUUGCCCCUUGGAUAAUGGCGAGGGAAAUGUGACACCUUUACGGUGUGUUAUAGUCUCUCGUCGCAUGCAAGGGUUGGGAUUGAGGAACUCAGCACGCACCUUUGGGUGUCGGGGUUUUGCCCACGAUACGUGCUUAGGAUGUUGGCGUAAUGGCUUUAAACGACCCGUCUUGAAACACGGACCAAGGAGUCUAACAUGCCUGCGAGUGUUCGGGUGGAAAACUCGUGCGCGCAAUGAAAGUGAAAGUUGGGACCUCUGUCGUGGAGGGCACCGACGCCCGGACCAGACCUUCUGUGACGGCUCUGCGGUAAAGCAUGCAUGUUAGGACCCGAAAGAUGGUGAACUAUGCCUGAAUAGGGUGAAGCCAGAGGAAACUCUGGUGGAGGCUCGUAGCGAUUCUGACGUGCAAAUCGAUCGUCAAAUUUGGGUAUAGGGGCGAAAGAC
rnacentral:rRNA from 1 species